ensembl:lncRNA
AUCCUGAGGGAGCAGAGGGCCACUCCGGUUCCCACCCUCUCAGGUUGUGUCAGGCCGGUCCUCAUGCAGAAUUCAACAGGGGGGCGGGGUGUGGGCAGAGGUGCAGGGGGACAGAGGAGAAGGAUGAAUGAUGCAUGGAAGACCAGGGUGUCAGCGGGGAAGAAAUUCUGAGACUAUGAAGAAGGAUUUGCAAGAAAAUGAGACAGGGGCCUGUUCCUCUCUGGGAGUCAGAGGAAGGAAGGAGUGUGGACAAAAGGACAGUGUUGACAGCUGGGUCAGGCAAGAAGAAGUGGAAACGGAGGAGAGGGGUCCAGCCAGCAUCCAGCUCUCCAAAUGGCAGUUGGAGUGGAAAUCAACUGUUGCCAAAACAGGAAGAAUGAGGGUGACUGUAGACCAAGAAUGAAGGCUCCAGACAGCAAAGGCCGUGCGCAUCUCUGCGGCUGCAUCCUCAGACCCUAGGCUGCCUGACUCAUCAAGGGAGGGCUCGACUCUGUUGAAUGGGCCGUCCGGAUGGACCUCCAGUUCUGAUUAAUACUCUAUUGCUAUGAAACAUAAAGUGAUGAUGCCCGAGUGUAGCAGCCUUUUCCGGUUGAUGAAACAUUGCAUGAGUCACAUUUUCUACAUACAAUGGCUUGGGCUGGGUUAUCCCCACUUUUACAUAUGCGGAAACUGAGGCUCAGAGGACCUAUGGGAUUUGCCCCAGGUCACAGCGCCAGUAAGCAGUGGAGCAGGGGCUCAAACAGACCCCAACUUCUAUUCCCUUUCCACAGUCAAUUCCCUCCUUUUCCUCUGACACUCUCAUCCACGCAGAUGCCCACAGCAGGCGCAGGUGUGCACGAGGAUGAAAAACAUCCACCACGAGACCGAGGCCAGCCUGCGACUGUGCGUGAGGAGACGCAUGCGGCACUGCACGAGAGUGGCCUGUGAAGGGGACAAUUGUAUAAGUGUGGGGAGUCGGGGAGACGUCAACAUGGAGCCACCUCUGCCUGGCAAGGCUGUUUUUUAUUCUCUGAAAGCUUUCUUUUCUCCUUAAAAAUUUUCUCAACAUGUCAAUACAUAGUUAUCGGGCAUCUCCCACAUGCCAGCAUUUUGCCAGGCACUGGGAAUUCAACAUAAAUAAGAGAAAGUUUCCACCUCAGAGUGGAAAAGAAUGAAGAAGAGAAACAAAAACCUAUUUCUUCUGCCAUUAAUUCAUUCGCUCAGCGUGUUUGGUAUACUGCAGGCAGAGAAGACGUGUUGACUAAAUAGAUACAAGGAGAGUAACUAUAAAGUGACGCUUUUGUUUCUGCAAAUGCCUGAAGCUGUUAGGAUAAAAGGCAUCAUGUGGAAUCUGAAACAUCACUGCCUCUUUCAGGAGCAUGUGGGUAUGUGUCACGAUCAUUCAUGAUGUCAGCAAAGCACGUUCGGCUGGACAAAAAACUAUGUGCAAAGAUACCAUGGUUCUGCAAACAAGUCCAUGUUUUGGGUUGAAAUUGCUACAAAGCACAGGUUAUUCAAAGGGUAGAGUUCGAGUUGGUGGGUACAAAACCUUCCUGGAUUCUGGUUUCUUAAAGCUUGAAUGGCCUGGUCUUCUCAGGGGAACUCCAUACAGGGCUGUUUUGUCCUGGCAAUAGUUAAAGGCUUUGAAAGCUGCUCCUUUUCUGCUCCCCUCCUGUAUCUUUCACAUGAAAUCAUUCCGUGGGAAAGCAGUUAAGUAGUGCCCACCCAUCCGUGUGGGCCUGUGUCCCUAACUCCUUGGCGUCUGUGUUGGCUAGCAGUUGAGAUCCCAAGAUCUGAAGCCAGACCUCCUCGUUCUGACUGGGUGACCUUGGGCAAUUCGCUGACCCUCCCUAAGUCUCAGAUGCGCUGUCUGUAAACUGGGGGUGAUAAUCAGAACAUCUACUUUUAUUGUGAGCCUGUUACAAGGGUAUGCGAGUUCAUACCUGUACAGCACUUAGCACAGGGCUUGCUUGUGGCAAACACUUGGUUCAUGACAGCUGUAAUCUCCUCACCCCCAGGGCCGCGAAGUCCCAGGUUGGAAGCCCCAGGUUCAGACCAACGUGCUCAUUGUGUGACUGAAGCUAAGUCUCUUGACCUUGGUCUCAGUUUUCUCACCUGUAAAAUGGUACCAGGUAAUCCUCAAAUAAGGCCAGGCCAGUCGUUGGCAGUUAUUUAUCAAAUAGUAAUUGAUUAUACGAAGUAAUGGUGGGCUAUUGGUAAAGCCUGGACACAGAGGGCAGAAUGGUAAAAAUAAAAACUCAUCAGUUUUGUUCUCUGAAAGCAGUUAGUUGGAAUGAAAAAGAGAAGACAGAUAUUGGUAUGGCCCACAGCGUGUAAUAUCCUUGCUCUGUCGGACACAGAACUCCUCAGGUUCCCUUGGUCACCAUCUUUUUCCAAAGCCCUGCUCUGGGGCUUGUCAUGAGGGACAAGAUGCUGCACUUUGCACUUCCUGGCACAAAGGAAGAGGUAGCGUGUUUAUCUGGCCUCUUUGGAUUUGGGAGACAAGGUGGGCUGCUCUUGGGAACAUCACUUCAAUCUACUUACGGGGUGACCCAGAAGACCGCCAGCUUCAAGUAAGUCCCAGAGCGAGAAAGGCCCCUGCAGCAGGUCCAAGAUAUGGACAAGCUGCUCUGCCUCCUGGGCCUGUGAUCCAGCGUGUCCAGUGGUGGAUAUGGAUGCUGUGUGGAGUCUCGGGCAAGCUCCAAUGGAGAAGUGUACCACAUACCUUGCGGUUCUGGAACAAGGUCAUACCCUCUCUGGCAAAGAAUCACAUCUGAAAAACAGCUACUGGAAUGCUAUAGAGACUGAGUGUCUGACCAAUGGGCACCAAGCGACCAUUCAACCGGAGCUGCCCACCAAAAGCUGAAUCCAUGUGUCCGAUACACGAGUCCUAAAGUUGGACGGCAAAGCAGUAAUCCACUGUGUGAUGGGAGUGACACAUUUGGAUCAGGCUUGAGCUGGCCCAGAAUGUGUAAGGAAAUUGCAUGAGCAGGCGGCCCAGACCCCAAAUCACCUGCCUCUGUUGCAGUACUUCUUUUUCAACCCACAUUUAUGGCCUGGUGGGCGUUCCCUAUAACCAACUGAUGGAUGUGCUAGAAUUAUGGUCCCACUCAGGUCAUCUCUGAAGGACAGUGAUAAAGGGAAAUCCUCCCUAGCGUACAUUUGGUCAUCCACUUUGUGUAUAGGGAGAGAUAGUCCAGAGGAAGGAUACACAUGGAUUACUAGUAAGUGGCAAAUGGUUUUGUCAGUUGGUCAGAGUCCUGGAAAGAGCAAAAUGAAAAGUUGAAGCAAAGGGGGUCUGGGAAAGAGAUAAGCGUAUGGCAAGGCCAGGACUGGGGUACAUUUCCAUGAUCCUAAGAGUGAAGGCUUCCUUAAACUUCAUGCCCUAUCGUGCACUGCCUCACCUGAGACCCAGCCCUCAUAGAUGGACCUAUGGAAACACACAGGAAGGGAGCAGAUCUCUGAGACUCACGUUAAUGUCCACCAAGGAGCAUCUGUCACAGAGGAGGCACUGAACAAUCAUCGGGCAGGAUAACUCAUCCUGUGACUGUCAGCCAGCCCUUCUCUUCAGUCAUCAGUCACCCUAGUGCUGGCACAGUGGGCCGACGAACAUAGUGGACGUGGUGGCAAGAGGGAGGCUUAGCAUGGGCUCAAGAUCACGGGUGCCCUCUCACCAACUUUAGGAGCUACUGCUGAGUGCCCAGGCUGCUCGCGGCAGAAGUUGACUCUGAGCUGUGUAUAUGGUGCUACUCCCCAGUGGGGGGAGAAAACAUCCAGCCACACGGUGGUAGGUUGAUUAUAUCAGACCCCCGGUAUUGAGGGGGCAGUGAUUUGUCCUUACUAGAAUCAAUGCAAACUCCAGCACCACCUGUGUGCUUACAGAAUGCCUGAUGUCUCAAUGUGGUAUCCCACAUCACAGUGCCUCAGACCAAAGAACCCAUUUUACAGCAAAGAGGCACACCACAGGCUCAUGACCACAGGAUUUACUAGUCCGACCCCAUCACCCAAAAUUAGUCAACUUGAUAGAAUGAUAGAAUGACCUGUCAAAGGCUCAGGAAAGCACCAUCUGGUAAACCAUGUCGAGUUGGAGUUCUCUCCUCCAAGAUGGAGUGUAUCCCGUAAACCAAUGCUCAUGAUACGGUACUGUGUCCCUGUCUUAGUCAGCUCAGGCUGUUAUAACAAGAAUACCAUAGACUGGGUGACUUAAACAACAUUUAUUCCUCACAGUUCUUGAGGCUGGGAAGUCCAAGAGCAAGGCAUUGGCAGAUUCCAUGUCUAGUGAUGACAGUCUUCCUCGUUUGCAGAUGGCCAUCUUCUCAUUAUAUCCUUACAUAAUGGAGAGGAGGGGAGCGAGCUCUCUUCCUCCCCUAAUAAGGACACUAAUCCCAUCAUGGGGGCUCUACCCUCAUGACUUAAUUAUCUCUCAAAGGCCCCAUCUUUUAAUAUCAUUCUAUUGGGAGUUAGGGUUUCAACAUAUGAAUUUGGGGGGGACAAAAACAUGCAGUCCCCUAUAACCAGAAUACACAGAUGGGGGUACCAGGGGUUGGAACUGGAAAUGGCUCCUCUCGCUAUUACAUCCAGUGACGUAUUUCUGAAUUUGUGAUUCCCUUCACCAUAAUCUUGGGAUCUUCCAGAUUAGAGGUCCUAGUUAACAGAGGGAGACGAUUUCUACCAAAUGACAUCGUAAGAAUUCUACUAAACUGGAAGCUGCAACUACGACCCAUCCACUUUGGGCUCCUCAUGUAGUGGACCAACAGGCAAAGGAAGAAAGUUCUCAUACUGGCUAGGAUAAUCGAUCCUGGUUACCAUGUGGAGACAGGAUGGCUGCUGCACAAUGUGGGCAGGGAGAAUGUCUGGUACCCAGGGACUCUCUGGGGCAUCUCUCAGUACUUUCAUGCCUGGUGAUGACUGUUAAUGGGUAGCUACAACAGCCAACAAGAGCAGGGCAACUAGGGGUCUACACCUUUUGGGAAUGAAGGUCUGGAUCACCCUACCAGGAAAACAACCCAGACCAGAUGAAAUGCUAACUGAGGAGGGGGCAUCUAGAAUGAGUAGUAGAAGAAGGAGACGAUGACUAUCAAUUAGAGCCACUGGACCAGUUACAACUAUGAGGAUUGUAGCUUGUUUUGCUAAUCCUCUUGCCUCAGUCUUUGAGGAAAACACUCUUGACCUCCACCUUGAAGGGAGCCAUGUAACUGAUUGGACCUGUAGCUCCAUUCUUGGAGAAUAAGUAAGGAUGUCUCUGUUUGUACAAAACUACUGUAAGCCCUAUAUUGUAGUAUAAAGGCUGAAAAUAAUGAGAGGGCACAAGGGGUGGACUGUGUUGGACACAAACUGGUUCUCCUCCUGAGAUUCUUUUCAUUGACUCUUUACUUCCAAAGGGCUGCCUGCCUUCCAAACCACUGCCACCUUUAUCAGAGCCCUUCCUUGUGGCCUGAGCUGAUGGAGUCCAAGCUGAAGGCCUAGAAAUACGUGGUCUUCACACCCGACAUGUUGAGCCUAUCUCUCUGAGUCACCACUCCAAUUCCGAUUAAUAUCAAAUACCAUACCAUGGGCCAUGGAAUCUGGCUUCCUAAGUGGACACCAAGGUACAGGGGAUGCAACCUCUGCCUAUGGCAUAACCUUGAGCAAUGGGAAGUGGGAAGCAAGAGAGAGCCGGCAAGAUAAAUUCCUCCUCCUUUCUGCCCUCUGAGAAUUCCUCCAAGGGGUGGUUUCACCUUGCACCCUGUCUGGAGAAAGUCCUCUUUGUCAAGUGAAAAUGCCUGUCCGGCAACUGGCUGCUUCUCUUUGCAGUUCGUUUUGAAGUGGUAACCAAUGCAGUAACAUUGUUUUGCAUCUUUUUUUGCUUCACUUCUCUUUUCCUCAUCCUCCCCACCCUGAGCUCAUACCUCCCAAAGAAGGUAUCAUACUUUGAUUCUUGCCUUGGGCCCUGCUAAGACACUUGCCAAUCUUGUCCUCAAGACUGGAUACUUGAGCUGGGAUGCUUCCCUACUCUAGUAGUCAUGAUUGGGACUCACCAAUAUAGCUGGCUCUCCUCCCCUUCUGGGCAUAUAAAAGAAUACACAUCUCUGACUCUUGAAAUGAGGCAUGACCGUGUGACCCGCUUUGGCCAAUGAUGUGUUAGCAGAAGGAGCGUGUUUCAUUCCCAGAGACAAGAAGAGCAUUUAGGAAGCAGUGUGCAGUUCGUGUUCCUCUUCCCCUGCCACAGCGACUGUGGAAAGGUGUGUAGAUAUAGCAGCACCACAAUAUUCAGGCAACCUCAAAGGCUGAGCCACCAUCUGGGCAACAGCUUCCCUGAAGAAAUGCCCAGAUCUACAGUGUAAUUCGCAGAGGUGAGAAACAAACUUCUGUUGUGUUAAGCUGCUGAGAUUUUAGGGUUCAUCGGUACCUCAGCAUAACCUUGCCUAUACUAACUGAUGUUACACUUCCAAACCAUAUGAAGGAGGGGUGCUCAAGGAAUCACUGUCAUGGGAAGAGGGCUUGAAGAAGAGGACACGAGCAUCUUGCUCCCUAGCUGAUAUCUGCUGAGCCUUCCAUGCUUUCCGUGCAGAGCAUGGUGAAGGAGAUCAUUCAUCAUCCAUUCACUCAACGAAUUACCAUGGAGCACCUACAACAUGCCAGGAACAGUUCCAGGGGCCGGAGAAUCAGCAACGGACAAGACAACUGAUACUACAGGUGCCCUGUAGAAUUUGACUGGCUUUCGUGAACCAAGAACUUCUUACCUGGAGGUUUCUGAAGGUUGGAGAAUUGCUAGAGCAGCCUGUGAGAACAAAAGAAGAGGAAUAUGGUGCAGUGGACCCAGAAAAAUGAGGAUGGGCAGCCCCGCCUCCCCACAGAUCUUGGAAUGCUUAGAAGGAGACCCAGCAGUUUCCAUGGCUUCAGGAGAGGUCAAAAGCAAGAGCCACAGGACUGCCCUGCUGGCCAGGAGAAGCGAUGUAUCAUUCAAAGAGGGAUGGGAUGGGGCUCUUGGCUGGGCUGAAGGGAAACCCAGUAGGCUGCCCCUGAGAGGAUUCUGGGUGAUGGACCCACACAGAUCAAAGCUGAGCAGUGCCUCUGGAAAGCAGAGGCCACCACCAGCCACAGGCCAGACCGAGGUCAGGCCUCUUACACUCCAACAGGUGACUAGUGACAUAAGACAUAAGACAUGAAUCUUAUGUGACAGACAGACUCUAAAGUAGUUCCCCAUGAUCCCUGCCACCUGAUGUUCACGCCCUUGUGUAAUCCCAUGAGUGCGGGUAGGACCUGCGACUUGCCUCUAACCAAUGGAAUAUGGCAAAGGUAUAAGUAAUUACGUGUAUUCGAUCACAUUAGAUUGUAGCGUUCAUCUUGCUAGAGGCUCUUUCUCCAUCUGACUUAAAAAAAAAACUAGGCAGCUACAUCAGGAAGCCCAAAUGGCAAGGAGCUGAGGACGGCCUCUAGGAGCUGAGGGCAGUCUCCAGCCAACAGCCAGGAAGAAGCCGGAGACCUCAGUCCUGCACCCACAAGGAAAUGAAUGCUGCCAACAACCUGAGUAGCUUGGGAGAGGAUUCUUCCCCCGUCACACCUCCACAUGAGAACGCAGCCUGGCAGUCACUUUGAUUGCAGCCUUGUGAGACCCUGAGCAGAGGACCCAGCUAAGCUGUCCUCAGACUCCUGACCCACAAAAACUGUGAAAUAUUAAAUGUGUGUUGUUUUAAACCGCUGAGCUUGCAGCAAUUUGUUACAUAGCAAUAGAUAACAAACAGAUGCCCCUCUACCUCCUCUCCUCCCAGUUCUGCCCCAGCCUCAGAGGGUUGGGGAGGAGGAGAGCAGACCAUGUCCCCUCCCCACUCCAACUCCCUCAGCCACUGGCCAGGGGAACAAGGUGGGAGAGGGGAGGAAGGAAAAGAAGUUCAAAU